AUUUUCAUGUGUUGGAAAGCGUGUGAGUUAAAUGAUAUUAGUAAUGGGCACGAGGUUAUCCCCCAAGCUUAUAAGUGGUUAAAGUUAUGGUACGCAUGUAUCGUAAGGAAUUGAAAUUUAACCAAUCGAAGAAAAUAAAUUUCGUCGAAGUUCAAAAUUUAUUUAAAUGGAAUACGGUCUAAGCUAUAAUAUCCCGUAUUUUUGGACUAGAAAAUUUAAUCGUCCAACGUGAGCAAAUUUACCCGAGCCCGGAGAAUUAGAUCAUAUCCAAGGAUAAAAAUCAAGAGCUCGGUGUAUACGAGGAAUGAAGGCCCAAAAUUAUUUAAGGCAAAAGAUGUGACAACGGUAAUUGCAAAUAAUAUUUUAUGUGUGUCAUUUGGUAACUACUGAAAUGUUUCUUUUUGAAUAAUGUUAAAUAUCUUAUAAGGGGGGCUAAUAUUUUCAGUUGGUUUUCUCCACUAAGUGGGGUCUACUAAUUAAAUAGCUAUUCUUAUGACUAACAUGGAAAAGCACCAAAGGUUUGGUCAAAAAGGCCCAUACGUGUAUACAUAGUAGACAUACUAGCUAUGACUCAUUCUAUCUAAAUUAAUAAUAAUUUAUGUUGAAGAUGGGCCUUAUCUAUUUUAUAUUACAAUACUAGGACAAGAACACUUCCUCCUAGAAGCAUUUCUCACGAUUGAAACCAUUUUGAUGGAAACAAAGCCAUUCAUUGGAAUUCUCGGCUAAGCCCCAUUUGGAGAAGUCCAAUAAACAUAUAUGGUAAGAGACCACUAAUUGUUGUCUAGUACGGGAGUUUUAGAGUUCAGCAAACACAAGUCAUCAAUUGGAGGAGCCUCACAUAUAUAGCACUACAUGUUCAUUACAAGAUUCAUUUAUUUCAAGUUAAGCAAAGAAGAAAAAUUUCUUUUGGAAAAACAAAUAUAAGGCUCUCGGCCAAGGUGGGUUCUAGUCGAGCAAUGGAGGAGUGAUGGGGAGAAAUUAUGCCUCAAAGUGUUGAAUUUAUUCAAGUGAUUAGCAAGGUUAAGGAGCCAAGUUGAUUAAGGCAAAAAGAGCGACGAGGCGAAAAGGAUUCACGAAUAGUCGCCAACAGGUAUAGACGCACAGUUUGGUGAUCCACCAGUUUAGGAUACCCUCUUCUGCUGUUUGGAGUGCUCCUCUUAUUCCGGAGCCUACAUUUUGGUAUAUAUUCGGUCUUUGCAUAUGUAUAUAUUUGUUCAGGGGUACGGCGGGGCCCUGUCCCGCCAUAUGAUACGGUUGGUCUGUUUAGAGGUCUGUAGACGUACAUGUGGGUUGUGCCUACUUCUGUUCAGAUGUGUUUGUAUGAUCCUACUCGUUAUGGCAGCCUUGUCGGCGUGCAUUUUGUAUAUGUUUUGGGGCCGUUGUGCCAUUUGAUAGCCUUGUCGGCU